UGUAUCCAUGAUUUCAACAUUUCAUUUGUGAUCCAUCAUCAGAAAAGUUGAAGGAUAGUUCAAUGUCAUGGUUGCCGAGGCACGAAAAAAGAAAAGGAGGCAGAAAGUAGCAACUAUUCUGCUUAAAGCCUGUGAUGCACUCUCACUUCUGUGGGGUUACCGCUACCUGGCUCUGCGAGCUUACGAAGAUGAUUCAGCAGCUCAAAACCUGUAUUCAAAAGCAGGCUACAAAGUGAUAUCAGGAGAUCCUCAUUGGAUUGGUUGGAUUGGCAAGAAGCGUCGUGUUCUAAUGAUAAAACCAUCUGUCUUGCACCAAACUCCCUAAAUUCAACUUUGAAAGCUUGCCAGCCUACAACUUUGUCAUUAUAAAUUUAAAACAUGAAAAGCAGAUCCCACUAACAAUUUUCAUCUCAUGCUGGUCUGCAUUGAUUGGAGAUGCCAAAAUACCGCUCCAAAUUUUUCAGAUGCCUCCGGAUGGAUGGAUGGAUGUUAAUGUACAAGUAAAAUGGUGUUGCGGUGAUAAUCAUUAAUCAACGAAAUAGUUGUAUUCUUCAUGUAUUGCAAGCAGAUUCAUGUCAUGCAAUUUCAUGCUUAGAAUAUCCAUCAUGUAGCUUGAGUUCGCAAAAUAUGCUAUACAACCUUUCUUGGAUGUUUUUAUGAAA